rnacentral:rRNA from 1 species
UUCCCUUAGUAGCGGCGAGCGAACAGGGAGAAGCCCAGCACCGAAUCUCGCGGGUUAACGCUCGCCGAGAAAUGUGGUGUUUGGGAGGGUCCGUUCAUCCCGGGGUUUUGCGGCGAGUCCAAGUCCAUCUUGAAUGGGGCCACGGCCCAAAGAGGGUGCCAGGCCCGUAGGACCGUUGCUGAUCGCGGGAGGAUCUCUCCUUAGAGUCGGGUUGC